CUUAAAUCUGUAAAACAAAAGUUUGAAUUAUUUCAGAUUGUCCUUAUGGACCACCCUCCCCUUAAUUAGAACUGCCGUUCCAAGGUCCGCUUGUACCCGUUCUUCUGAGUACAGCGGGGUUAGCUUGUUCCCUAGUCUUUUGUUAUUCCUUGGGUAAACCUUUUCACCCACUUCAAAGACUCUGUUCUGCCUCGAAAUGUUAAAAGGAAGCGCCUCGUUAGAGGUCGAAAAAACUUGAAUUCUCUUCAGUAUCAUCUUUUUGAACUCGGAUUUUACCGAGCCUGGGACCACCAGGUCAUCGACUUUGAUGAAAUUUACUUUGUCACAGUUGUGGAACCUAAGUUGUUCAGUUGCGUUUCCGUAUCUGAUUGUUCCGCUGCGCAGGUUCAAUGCCGCUCCCGCUCGCGUUAGCAAAUCGGAACCUAUAAUGGCAUCGAACGUAGCUAGAGUGUCUAACAAAAAAAAUGGGGCGUUUUGCCCGAAAAUAU
rnacentral:lncRNA from 1 species